UACGUAGGGUGCGAGCGUUAAUCGGAAUUGCUGGGCGUAAAGCGUGCGCAGGCGGUUUGUUAAGUCUGAUGUGAAAGCCCCGGGCUCAACCUGGGAACUGCAUUGGAAACUGGCAAGCUCGAGUAUGGCAGAGGGGGGUGGAAUUCCGCGUGUAGCAGUGAAAUGCGUAGAGAUGCGGAGGAACACCGAUGGCGAAGGCAGCCCCCUGGGCCAAUACUGACGCUCAGGCACGAAAGCGUGGGGAGCAAACAGG
rnacentral:rRNA from 1 species